rnacentral:rRNA from 1 species
UAGCCGUAAACGAUACUCGCUAGGUGUCGGCCACGGUGCGACCGUUGUCGGUGCCGUAGGGAAGCCGUGAAGCGAGCCACCUGGGAAGUACGGCCGCAAGGCUGAAACUUAAAGGAAUUGGCGGGGGAGCACCACAACGGGUGGAGCUUGCGGUUUAAUUGGAUUCAACGCCGGAAAUCUUACCGGGACCGACAGCAACAUGAAGGCCAAGCUGAAGACCUUUGCCGGAUUAGCUGAGAGGAGGUGCAUGGCGUAGUCGUGU